rnacentral:ncRNA from 1 species
GCGAUGAAACGGGAGGUUGCGGCCGCUUGGCAGGCCGGUUUUUCCGUGGAGUAUGUCCGAUUUCAAACCGGGCG